CAGCACCUCAAGUGGUCAGGAUGAUUAUUGGGCCUAAAGCAUCCGUAGCCGGCGCUGUAAGUUUUCGGUUAAAUCUGUACGCUCGACGUACAGGCUGCCGGGAAUACUGCAGCGCUAGGGAGUGGGAGAGGUAGACGGUACUCGGUAGGAAGGGGUAAAAUCCUUUGAUCUAUUGAUGACCACCUGUGGCGAAGGCGGUCUACCAGAACACGUCCGACGGUGAGGGAUGAAAGCUGGGGGAGCAAACCGGAUUAGAUACCCGCGUAGUCC
rnacentral:rRNA from 1 species